rnacentral:misc_RNA from 1 species
GAUGAAGAACGUAGCGAAAUGCGAUACUUGGUGUGAAUUGCAGAAUCCCGUGAACCAUCGAGUCUUUGAACGCAAGUUGCGCCCGAAGCCACUAGGCCGAGGGCACGCCUGCCUGGGCGUCACACGCCGUUGCCCCCCCAUCUACUCCUUCGGGAUUGCGGGGGGGCGGAUGAUGGCCUCCCGUGCGCCUAGCCGCGCGGUUGGCAUAAAUACCAAGUCCUCGGCGGCGCACGCCACGACAAUCGGUGGUUGCGAAACCUCGGUUGCCCGUCGUGUGCGUUCGUCGCGCAUCGAGGGCUCGAAAAAAUGCUCGGCUCCGGCUGGGCUUUCAACGCGACCCCAGGUCAGGCGGGGUUACCCGCUGAAUUUAAGCAUAUCAAUAAGCGGAGGA